GUGCUCGCUUCAGCCCCACAUAUACUAAAAUUGGAAUGAUAGAGAUUAGCAUGGCCCCUGCUCAAGGAUGACACGCAAAUUCGUGAAGCGUUCCAUAUUUAA